AUAAGGUAGAAGUAUUGGCAGAGAUGUAUGUGGAGUGGCACACUUGUUACCUAUGAAGGAAACCGAUAAGGUAGAAGUAUUGGCAGAGAUGUAUGUGGACCAAAUUGUGAGGUUGCAUGGAGUGCCAACAAAUAUAGUCUCCGAUCGAGAUAUUAGAUUUACCUCAAAUUUUUGGAAGGCGUUACAAGAGCAUUUGAGAACCAAAUUGUUCAUUAGCACUGCGUAUUAUCCCGAGAUAGACGACCAAACCGAAAAAACCAUUCGCACUAUAGAAGUUAUGAUGGGAAUGUGUAUAUUGGAUUGGGCGGGAAGCUGGGAAAAGCAUUUACCAUUAAUUGAAUUCUCCUACAACAACAGCUUUCAUUCUAGCAUAGGUAUGGCACCAUAUGAAGCGCUUUAUAGGAGGCCAUGCAAAGCACUUUUAUGUUGGACCGAAGUUGGGGAAAGAAGCGAGUUUGGACUCGAAAUUGUAGAAGAGACGAUGAAAAAGUUGGAGAUCAUUCAAACCAAUAUGAAGAAAGCGCAUGAUAGACAAAAGAAGUACGAUGAUCAAUCAAGGCGAGAAGUGGUGUUCAGUAUUGGUGAUUGGGUUUAUCUGAUAGUGUCAGCUCAGAAAGGAAAAGAUUGAUUCGGGAAAGUCGGGAAACUUGCGAUAAGAUUCAUCGGGCCUUACCAGAUUGAAGAACGAAUCGGAGAUGUUGCUUACCGUCUCAAACUGCCCGAAGAGAAGCGGAUACCUCCGGUGUUUCACGUAUCAAUGCUAUGGAAACAUGUUCAUGAUCCCAAAGCUAUUGAGACGGAGCAAAUCGAAAACCUGCAAACAAACCUCACUUUUUCAGAGGGACCGAUCUGAAUAGGUGAACGUCGAAUACGAAAACUAAAGAACCGAGAGAUUCUUUAAGUCCAAGUCUUCUGGGGUAAGCGAAACCGUGUAAUUGUGACCUGGGAGGAUGAGUCAAGGUUCAAAGCAUCGCACCCAGAGUUCUUUUAUGAAGAUGUAGUGAUGGAAGAAGGGGAAUCAUCGAAACCUUAGAGAAUUCGGGGACGAAUUCUUAUAAUGGGAGGAGGAUGUAAUACCCCGUCUAAAAAAAAUAAAAAAAAAUAAGGGUUCAGAAUAGUAUCGAUGGAAAAUGGAGUCAUCGAAAUUUGACUACAGUUUAAUGAUAUGGUGCAAUGUCAUUAAAUAUAAGUUAAUAGCUUAAUUGGAUAAUUAAGCGGUCUUUUUUAAGUGACCAAUGAAGUUGGGGUUUUGGUCACCAGAUUUGGAUCAAUUAAUCAUGCUUAAAAAAAAGGAUGAAGAAGACGUGUCAAGGAAGAAGAAGAGAAGGUGAUGACUAAUUUGAUAUUCAUGCAAAAAUGCAUGCAUACGUGUUAAAAGAAGGAAACAAGAAAAGAGUCAACUGAUAACUCAUUUUAAUGAGUACGUGGCCUGGUUAUAGAAGAAACAUGUAAUGCCUUGAAACAUAGUCAUGAUCUGAACGUGGCUUGGAGAAAAUGAUGCACCAAGGCUUAGUAAUAUUUUUUUAAUAUGGCCAAAUGGAGAGCGUGACAACUGUCACCAUAUUACACAUCAAAGUUGGCUAUAAAAGGAGAUUGGAUUUUCUCCAUUUCAGGGAACUCAGCGUGACCAAGAGAGAGAAGGAAACAAAGAAGAAGAGACAAGAGAAAUAAAAGAAAAGAAGGAAAAGAAAAAGAGAAAAAAAAAAAAUAAAUUUAGAGCGUUGUUUGGAGAAGCAAGACAUAUUAAAUUACGAGAUUUCGGGAAUAUCAGUACGGAAUCAAGACGAAGGUUUGGAGUGGUUAAGAAGGGUUUGGUUCCUGACGUCGGAGACGGCUUCCGAGCUAAGAUAGCCGAACCGGUCUAGGUGUCAGUCUGUAGAUCCGAGGCUUGAGACGAUGUCUGGGCUAAGUGGAUAGCAAGACUAGUCUAAGCACCCGGAUUAUUGUGAUUGUGUGAUUGUUAUAUUUUGUUAUGGUGUGUACCUCGUGUUGGUACUGUUGUGUGAGAACCUCGUGGUGGUUAUAGUAGUAGUUUGCAGGUCAUUGCUUCCUCAAAUGCUACCACUAAGCCGGUCGUGGUCCGGAAAGUGGUGGGCUCGGUUUAACUUGGCUUUAUCACCAAGGACGAGUGUCGCACGUGGAUGUGACAGUCCCCGACGAGUCUGAUAGAGGAUCGGGGCACGGCGAUUCCGAUUGAAGACCGUGACCAGGUGACCAGUAGAAAGGACCGUAGCACUCGCGGAACUGUAGGAGCUGGUGUAGAUUGGUCAUCUUUUGCUAAAGACUCGUUUUCAAGAUAUAUGAAUGUAUGUUUUACUUUCAACUGCGUCCAUGGACCCUAUGUAUUAUUUUUUGGCCUUGUGAACUUCAUGGUUUAUAUAUAUGAAAUAAAGUAUGUUUUAUAUUCGUGACGUGUUGAAUCUGAUAUUAGGUUAGUCUAACCUAACACAACUUUAUGACUCGGUACGGGUUGCAAAGCCUCACGCCGAAGAUUAGAGGAAACGAGUUUUGAAUGAAUAUUCUGGGUUACAGAAUUAUGUUUUGUGGCUUGGAAAUUCUAUUCUCAACCCGUCGUAACACUUCCGGACUUGGUAGAGGAAGGUCGUUGGAACAUGUUCUUGUUUGAUUGUUGCCCGGCUGACUGACCGAUGUCUAAAACGGUAUGGGGGUGUUACAGACUUGCCUUCCUUUUAUAGAAGAUGGGGUUGUUACUUUUUAACCAUUGCAUCCCUUCGGUAUCAAUUCUGGCCAUUGAUUUAAUCAAUGGUCAAGAUCACACCCAUUCGCCUAUGGCAGUUACCAAACGCCCUGGAAUUGUAAAACCACUCCUGGACAUGUCCAAAACAAGCCCACACGGAUUGCCCUUGCCCAUGGCCUGACCAGAAGAGCUCACCGACCCAUAUUCAUCCUUGGCCAACCAACCGGCCCGAUAACCGCCCAGAACUGACACACUGGUCUGAGCUUCCAACACUCCAUCCAGCUUAGUUGAGCUGACUCCCAGCUGACCCAGCUGAGUGAGCUAGUAGUCCAGCUAGCUGAGCUGGCUGAACUUGAUGUGAGCUAUAUUGAGCUUGUCCGAGCUUCUCCCAGCUAACCGAGCUUCAUUCUCGCAUCGUCCAUCUGUCUCAUCACUCGUCCAGCUUGCUCUCUUCAUCUUAUUCAAUCUUACUAAGUCCCUUGGUCUAUUUCCAGACCUAGACUUAGUUUUCUCUUGAUCCAUCCUGAUCAUUCACUUCAGACCAAGAACUAUUCGCCACUGCUCUAUCCAAUCUGCAGUGUACUAAAUGUGAAUGGCGUUGGCCUCUCCAAGAAAGAAAAGAAAAAAAAUUUCUUGUGUGCUUCAGAUCAAAGAGGUCACAUUCUGAGAGAAAGGAUCGGAAGGAGCUGAACGAGAUCUUAGGUCUCUCUAUACCUCCCGCCUUUUCAGAGUUG